rnacentral:rRNA from 1 species
AUGGCCAUGCCGCCGCCGCCUGCAGAGUCCGCCCGGAUGGAGGAAGCGCUUGGGGCGAGGGAGAGGUCUAGGCGUCGUCCCGGUGCUCGUCUCCCUCUGGUGUCCGGUGUUGUCUGCUGGCUGCUGCUGCUGUGUGCGCGGGAGAUUGGGAGGAGGCUUCGGAUGGGAUGGAAGAAUUUUAUACUGAUUAACUAUCUUCUGUGGGAAGCUUCAGCUGUUGAUUUCAGCAGAAGAUGUGUGGUGUGCUGCUGCUAUUUCGGCGACAACGCUAACACAGAGAUUGGUACUUUGGUGUGUUCCUUGGAUGGACGACCGGUCAAGGUCAGAUGA